rnacentral:rRNA from 1 species
CCUACGGGCGGCAGCAGUGGGGAAUAUUGGACAAUGGGGGGAACCCUGAUCCAGCCAUGCCGCGUGUGUGAAGAAGGCCCUCGGGUUGUAAAGCACUUUCAGUGAGGAAGAACGCCUGGUGGUUAAUACCCAUCAGGAAAGACAUCACUCACAGAAGAAGCACCGGCUGACUCCGUGCCAGCAGCCGCGGUAAUACGGAGGGUGCGAGCGUUAAUCGGAAUUACUGGGCGUAAAGCGCGCGUAGGUGGCUUGAUAAGCCGGUUGUGAAAGCCCCGGGCUCAACCUGGGAACGGCAUCCGGAACUGUCAAGCUAGAGUGCAGGAGAGGAAGGUAGAAUUCCCGGUGUAGCGGUGAAAUGCGUAGAGAUCGGGAGGAAUACCAGUGGCGAAGGCGGCCUUCUGGACUGACACUGACACUGAGGUGCGAAAGCGUGGGUAGCAAACAGGAUUAGAUACCCCAGUAGUC